AGUGAACGCUGGCGGUAGGCCUAACACAUGCAAGUCGAACGGCAGCACAGUAAGAGCUUCCUCGUACGUGUGGCGAGUGGCGGGCGGGUGAGAUGUACAUCGGAAUCUACUUUUUCGUGGGGUAUCGCAUAGGGAAACUUACUCUAAUACCGCAUACUACCUGCGGGUGAAAGCGGGGGCUCUUGGGACUUUGCUCGAUGGGCUGCCGCGAUGUCGGAUUAGCUAGUUGGCGGGGUAAAGGCCCACCAAGGCGACGACCCGUAGCUGGUCUGAGAGGAUGAUCAGCCACACUGGAACUGAGACACGGCCCAGACUCCUACGGGAGGCAGCAGUGGGGAAUAUUGGACAAUGGGCGCAAGCCUGAUCCAGCCAUACCGCGUGAGUGAAGAAGGCCUUCGGGUUGUAAAGCCCUUUUGUCGGGAAAGAAAAGCAGCCCGUUAAUACAGCGCGGUGCUGACGGUACCAGAAGAAUAAGCACCGGCUAACUUCGUG
rnacentral:rRNA from 1 species